UAGGGAAUCUUCGGCAAUGGACGAAAGUCUGACCGAGCAACGCCGCGUGAGUGAAGAAGGUUUUCGGAUCGUAAAACUCUGUUGUUAGAGAAGAACAAAGACGUUAGUAACUGAACGUCCCCUGACGGUAUCUAACCAGAAAGCCACGGCUAACUACGUGCCAGCAGCCGCGGUAAUACGUAGGUGGCAAGCGUCGUCCGGAUCUAUUGGGCGUAAAGCGAGCGCAGGCGGUUUCUUAAGUCUGAUGUGAAAGCCCCCGGCUCAACCGGGGAGGGUCAUUGGAAACGGGGAGACGUGAGUGCAGAAGAGGAGAGUGGAAUUCCAGGUGUAGCGGUGAAAUGCGUAGAUAUAUGGAGGAACACCGGUGGCGAAGGCGGCUCUCUGGACUGUAACUGACGCUGAGGCUCGAAAGCGUGGGGAGCAAACAGG
rnacentral:rRNA from 1 species